UACGUAGGGGGCAAGCGUUGUCCGGAAUCAUUGGGCGUAAAGAGCGUGUAGGCGGCCCGGUCAGUCCGCCGUGAAAGUCCAGGGCUCAACCCUGGAAUGCCGGUGGAUACUGCCGGGCUGGAGUCCGGAAGAGGCGAGUGGAAUUCCUGGUGUAGCGGUGAAAUGCGCAGAUAUCAGGAGGAACACCAAUGGCGAAGGCAGCUCGCUGGGACGUGACUGACGCUGAGACGCGAAAGCGUGGGGAGCAAACAGG
rnacentral:rRNA from 1 species